CACUCCGCCUGGGGAGUACGACCGCAAGGUUGAAACUCAAAGGAAUUGACGGGGGCCCGCACAAGCGGUGGAGCAUGUGGUUUAAUUCGAAGCAACGCGAAGAACCUUACCAGGUCUUGACAUCCUUUGACCACUCUGGAGACAGAGCUUUCCCUUCGGGGACAAAGUGACAGGUGGUGCAUGGUUGUCGUCAGCUCGUGUCGUGAGAUGUUGGGUUAAGUCCCGCAACGAGCGCAACCCUUGAUUUUAGUUGCCAGCAUUUAGUUGGGCACUCUAAAGUGACUGCCGGUGCAAGCCGGAGGAAGGUGGGGAUGACGUCAAAUCAUCAUGCCCCUUAUGACCUGGGCUACACACGUGCUACAAUGGAUAGUACAAAGGGUCGCGAAGCCGCGAGGUGGAGCUAAUCCCAUAAAACUAUUCUCAGUUCGGAUUGUAGGCUGCAACUCGCCUACAUGAAGCCGGAAUCGCUAGUAAUCGUGGAUCAGCAUGCCACGGUGAAUACGUUCCCGGGCCUUGUACACACCGCCCGUCACACCACGAGAGUUUGUAACACCCGAAGUCGGUAGGGUAACCUUUAUGGAGCCAGCCGCCGAAGGUGGGACAGAUAAUUGGGGUGAAGUCGUAACAAGGUAGCCGUAUCGGAAGGUGCGGCUGGAU
rnacentral:rRNA from 1 species